UAAGAGAAGAAUAUUUACGAAAUAACAGAAUGUUACAAUAGUAUUUGUUGAUUCGUUUUCGAAUUUUAUUUCAAUUUUCCAUUUUCAAAUUUCGUUUUUUAGAUUAUUUUGUAUUAGUAAAAAAAAUGAAACAAAGUAUUCGAUCGUUGUGACAUUUUUCGAUAGCCUAUCGUUAGAUAAACUCGUUGUCCCCCCAUAUAAAACUGCGUUGACAUUAGAUUUUUUUUAUAUUUUAAAAUACUAAUUCUUCAUAGUUUUAUCUACUAUAAACAUAUGAACGUUGCUCGAAAUAAAAGUACGCUCAACACACGAAUGAUGAAUACCACAUGGACUUUAAGAUUCAUCAUUUGUCUCCUUUGUUGUCGAGCAUCUUUGGCAGAAUUGAAACUUGUACAGACGAUAUUUAGACAUGGAAACAAAAUGCCAUCGAAUAUCAAUUUUUAUCCUAACGAUCCUUACAUUAAUUAUACUUACGAGCCGGCGGGACGAGGAGGUUUAACAAAUGUACGU